rnacentral:rRNA from 1 species
UCGAUUGAGUUUGAUCAUGGCUCAGGACGAACGCUGGCGGCGUGCUUAACACAUGCAAGUCAAGGGGGCCCAGCAAUGGGCAACCGGCGAACGGGUGCGUAACACGUGAGCAACCUACCGAAGUGUGGGGGAUAGCCGGCCUAACGGCCGAGUAAUACCGCAUACGUUCCAGAAGAGGCAUUUCUUUUGGAAGAAACCUACGGGACACUUCGAGGGGCUCGCGGCCUAUCAGAUAGUUGGUGAGGUAACGGCUCACCAAGGCAACGACGGGUAGCUGGUCUGAGAGGAUGGCCAGCCACAUUGGGACUGAGAUACGGCCCAGACUCCUACGGGAGGCAGCAGUGGGGAAUCUUGCGCAAUGGCCUAACGGCUGACGCAGCGACGCCGCGUGAGGGAUGGAGCUCCUCGGAGUGUAAACCUCUGUUGCCCGGGACGAACAGCUCGAUUAAUCGAGCCUGACGGUACCGGGUGAGGAAGCACCGGCUAACUCCGUGCCAGCAGCCGCGGUAAUACGGGGGGUGCGAGCGUUGUCCGGAAUCACUGGGCGUAAAGGGCGCGUAGGUGGUCUGAUAAGGGUGUGGUGAAAGUCCGGGGCUCAACCCCGGAUCUGCCGUGCCGACUGUCAGACUCGAGGACUGUAGAGGCAGGCGGAAUUCCGGGUGUAGCGGUGGAAUGCGUAGAGAUCCGGAGGAAGACCGGUGGCGAAGGCGGCCUGCUGGGCAGUUACUGACACUGAGGCGCGACAGCGUGGGGAGCAAACAGGAUUAGAUACCCUGGUAGUCCACGCCGUAAACGAUGGGUACUAGGUGCCUGGGGG